rnacentral:rRNA from 1 species
GCAGCCUGAUGCAGCCAUGCCGCGUGUGUGAAGAAGGCCUUCGGGUUGUAAAGCACUUUCAGUUGUGAGGAAAGGUUAGUAGUUAAUACCUGCUAGCUGUGACGUUAGCAACAGAAGAAGCACCGGCUAACUCCGUGCCAGCAGCCGCGGUAAUACGGAGGGUGCGAGCGUUAAUCGGAAUUACUGGGCGUAAAGCGUACGCAGGCGGUUUGUUAAGCGAGAUGUGAAAGCCCCGGGCUCAACCUGGGAACUGCAUUUCGAACUGGCAAACUAGAGUGUGAUAGAGGGUGGUAGAAUUUCAGGUGUAGCGGUGAAAUGCGUAGAGAUCUGAAGGAAUACCGAUGGCGAAGGCAGCCACCUGGGUCAACACUGACGCUCAUGUACGAAAGCGUGGGGAGCAAACGGGAUUAGAUACCCCGGUAGUCCACGCCGUAAACGAUGUCUACUAGGAGUUCGGUUUUUCGGAACUGUCUUCCAAAGCUAACGCAUUAAGUAGACCGCCUGGGGAGUACGGCCGCAAGGUUAAAACUCAAAUGAA